rnacentral:rRNA from 1 species
CCUACGGGGGGCAGCAGUGGGGAAUAUUGGGCAAUGGGCGCAAGCCUGACCCAGCAACGCCGCGUGAAGGAAGAAGGCCCUUGGGUUGUAAACUUCUUUUGUCAGGGACGAAACAAAUUCCGGUACCUGACGAAUAAGCCACGGCUAACUACGUGCCAGCAGCCGCGGUAAUACGUAGGUGGCAAGCGUUAUCCGGAUUUACUGGGUGUAAAGGGCGUGUAGGCGGGAGGGCAAGUCAGAUGUGAAAUUCCAGGGCUCAACCCUGGAACUGCAUUUGAAACUGUUUUUCUUGAGUGAUGGAGAGGCAGGCGGAAUUCGGGGUGUAGCGGUGAAAUGCGUAGAUAUACGGAAGAACACCAGUGGCGAAGGCAGCCUGCUGGACAUUAACUGACGCUGAGGCGCGAAAGCGUGGGGAGCAAACAGGAUUAGAUACCCUAGUAGUC